rnacentral:tRNA from 1 species
CCGGGAUAGCUCAGCUGGUAGAGCAGAGGACUGAAAAUC